GAUUAAAACCAAUCGGGUUUCGGCCCGUCAAUUGGUGACUCUGAAUAACUAUGGCUGAUCGCAUGGUCUUGAACCGGCGACGUGUCUAUCAAGUGUCUGCCUUAUCAACUGUCGAUGGUAGUUUAUGUGCCUACCAUGGUUGUAACGGGUAACGGAGAAUAAGGGUUCGACUCCGGAGAGGGAGCCUGAGAAACGGCUACCACAUCCAAGGAAGGCAGCAGGCGCGCAAAUUACCCACUCUCGGCAUGAGGAGGUAGUGACGAAAAAUAACGAGACCGUUCUCUCUGAGGCCGGUUAUCGGAAUGGGUACAAUUUAAACCCGUUAACGAGGAUCUAUGAGAGGGCAAGUCUGGUGCCAGCAGCCGCGGUAAUUCCAGCUCUCAAAGUGUAUAUCGUCAUUGCUGCGGUUAAAAAGCUCGUAGUUGGAUCUGCGCCUCAGGACUUGGUCCGCCCACUGGGCGAGAACUGGGCUCCUGGGCUAGUACUGCUGGUUUUCCCUACGUUGCCUUCAUCGGUCGCGUAGGGUGGCUAGCGAGUUUACUUUGAAAAAAUUAGAGUGCUUCACGCGGGCUUAUGUCUGAAUACUCGUGCAUGGAAUAAUAGAAUAGGAUCUCGGUUCUAUUUUGUUGGUUUUCUGAUCUGAGAUAAUGGUUAAGAGGGACGGACGGGGGCAUUCGUAUCGCUGCGUGAGAGGUGAAAUUCUUGGACCGUAGCGAGACGUCCGACUGCGAAAGCAUUUGCCAAGAAUGUCUUCAUUAAUCAAGAACGAAAGUCA
rnacentral:rRNA from 1 species